CGGGGCGUAGCUCAGCCUGGCUAGAGCGCUGCGUUCGGGACGCAGAGGUCGCAGGUUCAAAUCCUGUCGCCCCGA
rnacentral:tRNA from 1 species